GACGAACGCUGGCGGCGUGCUUAACACAUGCAAGUCGAACGGAAAGGCCCUGCUCUUGUGGGUUGCUCGAGUGGCGAACGGGGGAGUAAAACGUGAGGAACCUGCCCUUGACUUUGUGAUAACAUCACGAAACUGGGGCGAAUACCGCAUAUGAGCUCCUGCUGCAUGGGGGUGGUUGGAAAAAUACGGCGGUUGGGGAUGGACUCGCGGGAUAUCAGCUGGUUGGUCGAGUAGUGGCUUACAAAGGCUUUGACGGGUAGCCGGCCUGAGAGGGUGAACGGCCACAUUGGGACUGAGAGACGGACCAGACUCCUACGGGAGGCAGCAGUGGGGAAUAUUGCACAAUGGGCGGAAGCCUGAUGCAGAAACGCCGCGUGCGGGAUGACGGCCUUCGGGUUGUAAACCGCUUUCGCCUGUGCCGAAGCGUGAGUGACGGUAAUGGGUAAAGAAGCAACGGCUAACUACGUG
rnacentral:rRNA from 1 species